rnacentral:rRNA from 1 species
UACGUAGGGCGCAAGCGUUGUCCGGAAUUAUUGGCGUAAGAGCUCGUAGGUGGCCUGUCGCGUCGGCUGUGAAACUCGGGCUCAACUCCGAGCUGCAGUCGAUACGGCAGCUAGAGUCGCAGGGAGACUGAUCUGUGUAGCGUGAAUGCGCAGAUAUCAGAGACACGUGCGAGCGGUCUCUGGCGAUACUGACACUGAGGAGCGAAAGCGUGGGGGAGCGAACAGG